CUAACACAUGCAAGUCGAACGAUGAACCACUUCGGUGGGGAUUAGUGGCGAACGGGUGAGUAACACGUGGGCAAUCUGCCCUUCACUCUGGGACAAGCCCUGGAAACGGGGUCUAAUACCGGAUACCACUACCGCAGGCAUCUGUGGUGGUUGAAAGCUCCGGCGGUGAAGGAUGAGCCCGCGGCCUAUCAGCUUGUUGGUGAGGUAAUGGCUCACCAAGGCGACGACGGGUAGCCGGCCUGAGAGGGCGACCGGCCACACUGGGACUGAGACACGGCCCAGACUCCUACGGGAGGCAGCAGUGGGGAAUAUUGCACAAUGGGCGAAAGCCUGAUGCAGCGACGCCGCGUGAGGGAUGACGGCCUUCGGGUUGUAAACCUCUUUCAGCAGGGAAG
rnacentral:rRNA from 1 species